rnacentral:rRNA from 1 species
GACGAACGCUGGCGGCGUGCUUAACACAUGCAAGUCGAACGGAAAGGCCCUGCUUUUGUGGGGUGCUCGAGUGGCGAACGGGUGAGUAACACGUGAGUAACCUGCCCUUGACUUUGGGAUAACUUCAGGAAACUGGGGCUAAUACCGGAUAGGAGCUCCUGCUGCAUGGUGGGGGUUGGAAAGUUUCGGCGGUUGGGGAUGGACUCGCGGCUUAUCAGCUUGUUGGUGGGGUAGUGGCUUACCAAGGCUUUGACGGGUAGCCGGCCUGAGAGGGUGACCGGCCACAUUGGGACUGAGAUACGGCCAGGACUCCUACGGGAGGCAGCAGUGGGGAAUAUUGCACAAUGGGCGGAAGCCUGAUGCAGCAACGCCGCGUGCGGGAUGACGGCCUUCGGGUUGUAAACCGCUUUCGCCUGUGACGAAGCGUGAGUGACGGUAAUGGGGAAAGAAGCACCGGCUAACUACGU